GAGGCCCUUCGAGGAAGUUACGUGAGCCGACGCACGCUGCCGCCGCGCGUUAGGCCAGCAGCGAAGAAUUACGUCACCCACCGCGAGCUAAAGUCUGCGCCUGCGCAGGAGGCUGCAACGGCAGCUCUGCCUCUCCCGCUACGCGGCAGGGGCGGGGUCGGCCUGCCCCCGAAAAUCACGUGAGCUGCGGGCCCGCUGCAGCAGAUAAAAAAGCAUGUCCUGGUUCCAGAACAACCCCACCUUCUGUGCACAACUGCUGGCUCUGCCUCCAGGUUCACCCAGAAGUGGAUCCUGCAAUCGCUUCCCUUCUCAGGAUUUUCAGAAGCCAGCCCAGUUCAUGGAGCAUGGGGCUCACCCCUAGGUGCACACACUGAGAGUUGAGUCCUUCCCUAGUAGUCUAGGACCCUCCUGCUCUCCCGCACCCAGAGCCCUGACUUCCUCCAGAAAUGAAUCUCCUUGCCCAAACGGGUUAAUAAGAACAGUAUGUGCCUCAUGCUUACGGAGGGUGAGCCCUACUCUGUUAGUAGUAUGUCACUUUCUCACAAAACUCUGCGAAGGGGUAGUAUCAUUAUUCCUAUUAUACAGAGGAGGAAACAGAGGCACAGGAAGGUUAGCCAGCCUACCCAAGAUCACAGCGAGUCUGAGCCAGGACUGAACCUCCACAGUGGUACUCUGUGCAGACCAGUCUCCCCAGCUACAGCAGAACAGAGAUCAGGUAAAUGCCAAAAGGGAACUAAACUGGGUGUGAUUAAAUAGCAUACUAAAAGUUGUGUCUGGUUUGCAUGAAUCCAUAAGUCAACACUGAGAAGUGUGGUUUCUAAGACAUUGAGUGGAGGUGGGGCAACUUCUUGCAAAACCCCAGGGACUUGGCCCUCCUGCCUGAUUGCAUCAUGGCCAUCUCACCUCGGCACCCUCCUGGGCACAGGCCUGCUGGGUGCCGAAUCCUUCCCUCCUCAGGCCGUUUGCACAUCCUGUUCAGAUCCUCCCUCUUUCCCCCAGUUAAUUCAUCUCCACUCAGCUGUCUCCUCCCCAGAAGCCAGCCCAGCUCCCUGACCAGGACAAAGUCUCACACCAUAAGCUCAGACAUGUUCAUGAUUUCCAGGCCCCUGGAGGUGUUUAGGGAAUUGGAGGUGGGGCUCUAAGCACCAAAAAGGAAGGAGUUGGGAAACAGUCAUUUGCCAUUUUAAAACUGCAACGUACCCAAGAUAACAGCAAUUUGGGAGCCAGAACUGAAUCUCCACAGCAGUGCUCUGUGCAGACCAGAGUCCUAAAGAUGGUCAUACUCAUAUUCCAGUGGUUCUGGACUGAAUCUUUGUGUGUGAUAACAUACACUAUAUAUAUUUGUACACCAGUAUAAACAUAAUGACUUUCUACUGGAUUACAA
rnacentral:lncRNA from 1 species